AUACACUUAAUAUUACUUUACCUUUUAUUGAAUCUAAAAGAAUAUUUUACUUAAUUCUAGAAUUGCCAAUUGAUAUCUCUUUUUUUGAUAAUAACAUGCUUCAUAUAUAUUAAAGAGAUAUAGCAUUCCUAUAAUUACGCUUCACAUAAUGCACAUUGACAAAUUAUUUAACCUACAUAGAUAUCGAGCUUUGAGACAAGUCAGUGCAAUCAAUGACUAUCCAAAUCUAGAACAAUUUAAUGUCAUAAAAGAAGUCAUCCAUAAACCAAUAGAUGAUAUUGAACUAGGAUAUUCACCUAACACCUUUACAUAUCAAACUACAGAAGAAUUAGAAUAAGAAAAAUACAGAAGAAUUAGCAGGUAUACCUACUUUUACACCUUAUAAUCCAACAUUACUAUUGAAUUGUAACAAAACCACGCAACCCUGAAGAGAAAUCCUUAACCGUUAUUAACAAAAACCACAGUUUCAAUAGCCAUAAACACCAAUAUAGGUCAACCCCUCUAAUAAAAAAAAAAAAAGAAUAACAACUCAAAAAAGGCCAAAGGAUUCGUGAAAAACUA